AGCCUAGGCUUGGUCUGACUGAAUUGCUCAUCUCUCCCUUUUCCAUUUUUUUUUUUUUUUUCCCUCCAGGUCACGCUGCCAGUGCUGCUUCUCAGGCAAGUUCCCAGCCGGACUACACGAUGGCUUGGGCAGAGUAUUACAGACAGCAGGCUGCCUACUACGGGCAGACACUAGGACAGGCUCAGGCCCACAGCCAGGAGCAGUAGAACAAGGUCCUCGUGGCAAUUUUAUUUUUUUUUUCCCUUGGAAUCAUUGUGGAAGAAAACCUUUUUGUAACAGAGGUUUCUAGAUUUGCAACGUUUUGAUGAAGACUUUUCUGUUUGUUUGUGAAACACUAGCUGUAGGAUAAUCUAUACUGAACUUUUCUAAGAAUCAGGAACAAUUAGUAACGUACUAAACUUACGGACACGCUGGUAAUUUUAUUUCCAAAUUUGUAAAAAA